GCCCUUUUUGGAAUGGAGACAGCAGAGAGCAGCUCGUCUGAGUUCAAGAGGGAAAGAUAUGGUGGCCAAGCAUGAGGUGCUCCACAAAGGCCGUGGGGGAUUUGAAGCACGAGGGCACAGGUGCUAAACUACCCCAGAGUCAGCAAGGUCAGCUUCAUUUUACUGAGCUGUCACUCAUACUGAAGGGGCCUGCCCUCCUGUGUCCGGUAUGCAAAGCAUCUUUCCUGGCCACUCCGGUAAUCUUUGCAGCCUCAGCCUCAUCAACUCUGCUUCAUGCUGUUCAGUAGAGCCUAACAAGAUCAUCGAGGGGGACUUUGAGGACUGAGAUGUCUGUGUUGUGGACUCAGUGCAAAUUCUACCCCAAAAGCCAGGAGCUUAGAGCCGCUGAGCUUUGCAGCAGCGCUCACGUUAUUAUCCAGAAAAUUCCUCCUGCGCCUCUGUCUUUCUACCACCGACCCCUGGUUAUGCUUUAAUGCAAGCUGCCUACAUGCCUUCAUGGAACUGCUAAUUGCUUUGGAGCCAUAGAAGCAUGGAUGUUUAUAAACUUUUUUUUCUUCCUUACUUGGGUUACAAAAGGAUGGCGUAGGAAUGGAUGAAAAUUGAUGAUUACAGGAAAAUGUCAUGCAAGCAACGGAAGUCUCUGGGAUUCCCGGAGGCGAGGGGAAUGGAUGUAGAGAGUGGAUGUAGGGGUGAAGGUGGGGGUUCUGUCUGAGGACAUGGCACUUCAGGGGGUGGUUGUGGAGGUGGGACUGGGGGUGGUGGAGGUGAGAAAGUGGAGGCUCUCUCAGAGGACUUGGCUCUCUCAGUCUGCUUGUUUUCUUGCCAGCAGCUGGACAGUUCGCUUUUGUUGACAGUAUUGGGAAAAGAAGGGAAGAAUGCCACAGAGGCAGGAAGGGGGCUCAUCGAUUCCAGCUUCACUGCCUGGAUUUUCACGGGAUAAAUAGGACUGUUUGGAAGGCUAAUUUACAGGCCCUUUUUAUGGUAAUAAACAUUGUUUAGAAGACAACUGAAA
rnacentral:lncRNA from 1 species